UUUCAUUUCCCUCUCUUUUACGAGAUUAUUUUCAGCCAUCCCUCCAAAAAUUUCACUUCUUUGUCUCCAACAAAAUCUUCCUUUCUUCUACUUUCUUCCCUUUCACCCCAUAAUCGCAUCUGCCAAAACGUUUUGUUGUUCCACAAAAUCAAAGAAUAAAAAAAAAAAACCUCUCUCUCUCGAUGUCUCUUUCCCUCUCUAUCGACCACCAGCCACUGCCCAGCCAAACAACCACCAUUCGCCUAGGAUCUUCACCGGUUGUCGACCGGUGCAUUGCACUUCUAGGUUUCAUCAGACGACAUUAUAAUAGCCAGAUCUUCUUCCUCCAGCUGAUAAUUUACCUUGUCUGCCAUGGGUAUGUUGAAACUUUUGUGUUUCUCCCUUGUCUAGUGUUGACGAUCCCCUGAUUUCUUUUCUUAGUGCUCUUAUGAUCCAAUUAAAUGCUAUUCUAUAUGUUGAAACUUUUUUUUUGGUCUAGUCCAUUUUUUUGACAUUAUUUCAUUAGGAAACUUUCUGGGUUUUGGGUUUUGUUUUUGGUCCAUGAGCUAAAGGAAAUUGUAUCCAGUUCCAGUUCCUCACUUAUAUAUAUUAUAUAGAGAUGGAAAAAACACUCGAGUACAACAGUCUUGUAUAUGAAGUUUCAUAGAAUGUGAGUACAUGCCUCUAAUUCUAGCUCUCUUUAUCUUAAAUGGUCCAAAUGGGUUGUCUUUGAUGUGAUUAAUGCUUAUCUUGAUGAUAUUCACUCAUCUUAAAAAGUACAAUGCAGCCUAUUGGAGAUAUUAUGAUUGUAACGAAUAGGACGAAGAUUGUAUAGACUUAACACAACCAUUUGUGGAGUCGGGACUUGUAAUUACUGACAUCAAAUAGGAGAAGUCAUGUCCAUGGGCUUUUCUCAUGUCGUUUACCUUUCAAAUGUGGGUUGUCACUGUAAUAUUCUUUAUUUUGUUGGAGGAGUUGUUUGGAUUCUUGAGCACCAGACUAAUGAAGAGUUUUGUGGUCCGUCGAGGCAACAACUAAUUACAAUGUUUUUGUUAGUAUGCUUAAACUCGUUACAAAAGCUUUAAUUUGGUUAAGAAAAAUAUUUGACUUUAGUAAAUAGCCUGGUAUGAAAAAUUUUGCACAUACGUUAAGCAUAACCUUGUGAUUCAUCUAUGAUUGAGUGUAAUUACCACAAAGUGCUAAGUAUUGUUUUAGUUCCUUAAAGUUUCCUUAUAUGGUUUAUUCUUCUAAUGUUUGUUGCAAACACACUAACAAGAAUUUGGCAAUCUCUCAUCAACAGUAACAACAAAGAUACUCCUAGAUAUUGGAAGGCAACACUUGCUACUUUGCCCUUUAUUGGUUUGCAAUGUUGUGUCCAUGGAGGGAAAUGUAAACUGCUAGAAAGUUCAACUUUUUUACAAUAUUCCAUAAGCUGCGAAAUAAUUAUAGUUUACUUUGAUAGUGACUUCCGAUAUUUUUGGAUUGUUUGAUGAAAACUUUAUGGUUGACUUUGAUAGAAUUGAUUGAUUCAACUAAAUCACAAUUUUGAUUCGAAAUGUGUGGCUGAGUUUGGUUCCUUAAAAAUGCAAGCUGGAAAAGGAUGACAGGUAACAUGAGACCGAACAUCCAUAAUAGAAUAAGCCCUGGAAGUCACUGAGAAAGUGGUGUUCGAUACUCCAUGACUCCCAUUUCUGGAACUUUUCAUAAUGGACUUAAGGAUAAGAGGUUUUUCAGCAAGCAAGGAUGCAUCACUUUAAAAAGUUGAAGACUAAAUGACACUUAUUUGUCUUAAGAAAACUAGAAAGUGAAGGUUGUCUUUUUUUUUUUUUUUUUUUUUGUUUUUUUUAAAUAAAUAUUUGCCACAAUGUAAUUUGAAUAAUGUGGCGACCCUACAAAAAAAUAUGGUUAUUUAUGUAUGUGGAGUGUUGUAUUGAUUGAACCAUUCCAUAAUAAGCAAUGUUUAU